rnacentral:rRNA from 1 species
UACGUAGGGGGCAAGCGUUGUCCGGAAUCAUUGGGCGUAAAGCGCGUGUAGGCGGCCAGGUAAGUCCGUUCUGAAAGCCCGGGGCUCAACCCCGGGAGGCGGAUGGAUACUGCUUGGCUCGAGUCCGGAAGAGGUGAGUGGAAUUCCCGGUGUAGCGGUGAAAUGCGCAGACAUCGGGAGGAACACCAAUGGCGAAGGCAGCUCACUGGGACGGUACUGACGCUGAGACGCGAAAGCGUGGGGAGCAAACAGG